rnacentral:rRNA from 1 species
AUUGAACGCUGGCGGCAUGCUUUACACAUGCAAGUCGAACGGUAACAGGUUAAGCUGACGAGUGGCGAACGGGUGAGUAAUGCAUCGGAACGUGCCCGGUCGUGGGGGAUAACACUUCGAAAGAAGUGCUAAUACCGCAUACGAUCUGAGGAUGAAAGCGGGGGACCGUAAGGCCUCGCGCGAUCGGAGCGGCCGAUGUCAGAUUAGGUAGUCGGUGGGGUAAAGGCUCACCAAGCCGACGAUCUGUAGCUGGUCUGAGAGGACGACCAGCCACACUGGGACUGAGACACGGCCCAGGCUCCUACGGGAGGCAGCAGUGGGGAAUUUUGGACAAUGGGCGCAAGCCUGAUCCAGCAAUGCCGCGUGCAGGAAGAAGGCCUUCGGGUUGUAAACUGCUUUUGUACGGAGCGAAAAGGCUCCCUCUAAUACAGGGGGCUCAUGACGGUACCGUAAGAAUAAGCACCGGCUAACUACGUGCCAGCCGCCGCCGUAA